rnacentral:rRNA from 1 species
GAUGAACGCUGGCGGCGUGCCUAAUACAUGCAAGUCGAACGCACAGCGAAAGGUGCUUGCACCUUUCAAGUGAGUGGCGAACGGGUGAGUAACACGUGGAUAACCUACCUCAAGGUUGGGGAUAACAUUUGGAAACAGAUGCUAAUACCGAAUAAAACUUCGUAUCGCAUGAUACAAGGUUAAAAGGCGCUACGGCGUCACCUAGAGAUGGAUCCGCGGUGCAUUAGUUAGUUGGCGGGGUAAAGGCCGUACCAAGACAAUGAUGCAUAGCCGAGUUGAGAGACUGAUCGGCCACAUUGGGACUGAGACACGGCCCAAACUCCUACGGGAGGCUGCAGUAGGGAAUCUUCCACAAUGGGCGAAAGCCUGAUGGAGCAACGCCGCGUGUGUGAUGAAGGCUUUCGGGUCGUAAAGCACUGUUGUAUGGGAAGAACAGCUAGAGUAGGGAAUGACUUUAGUUUGACGUACCGAUACCUGAAAGGGACGGCUAAAUACGUGCCAGCAG